GAUGAACGCUGGCGGCGUGCUUAACACAUGCAAGUCGAACGGGAAUUACUUUAUUGAAACUUCGGUCGAUUUAAUUUAAUUCUAGUGGCGGACGGGUGAGUAACGCGUGGGUAACCUGCCUUAUACAGGGGGAUAACAGUCAGAAAUGGCUGCUAAUACCGCAUAAGCGCACAGAGCUGCAUGGCUCAGUGUGAAAAACUCCGGUGGUAUAAGAUGGACCCGCGUUGGAUUAGCUGGUUGGUGGGGUAACGGCCCACCAAGGCGACGAUCCAUAGCCGGCCUGAGAGGGUGAACGGCCACAUUGGGACUGAGACACGGCCCAGACUCCUACGGGAGGCAGCAGUGGGGAAUAUUGCACAAUGGGGGAAACCCUGAUGCAGCGACGCCGCGUGAAGGAAGAAGUAUCUCGGUAUGUAAACUUCUAUCAGCAGGGAAGAUAGUGACGG
rnacentral:rRNA from 1 species